rnacentral:rRNA from 1 species
GACGAACGCUGGCGGCGUGCUUAACACAUGCAAGUCGAACGGUGAAGGGGCCUGCUUUUGUGGGCCCUGGAUGAGUGGCGAACGGGUGAGUAACACGUGAGUAACCUGCCCCCUUCUUCUGGAUAACCGCAUGAAAGUGUGGCUAAUACGGGAUAUUCUGGGUCUGUCGCAUGAUGGGUCUGGGAAAGAUUGCGCCUUUGGGUGUUUUUGGUGGGGGAUGGGCUCGCGGCCUAUCAGCUUGUUGGUGGGGUGAUGGCCUACCAAGGCGGUGACGGGUAGCCGGCCUGAGAGGGUGGACGGUCACACUGGGACUGAGACACGGCCCAGACUCCGACGGGAGGCAGCAGUGGGGAAUAUUGCACAAUGGGCGCAAGCCUGAUGCAGCGACGCCGCGUGAGGGAUGGAGGCCUUCGGGUUGUAAACCUCUUUCGCCAGUGAAGCAGGCCUGCUCCUUGUGGGUGGGUGGACGGUAGCUGGAUAAGAAGCGCCGGCUAACUACGU